rnacentral:misc_RNA from 1 species
GGCUCUUCAAUGAUAGGUACACAACUAAUAAUAUCUGAUCCUCCUCUUUUAAUUGAGUUCUCCUCAAUUGGAGGUAAUGGCAUGGGAUCAAUAACUAUGCCAGGGCUUCUUUCUGUUCUUAAAGGAACCGUUGAAGUCACUAUACUCUUCUCUUCUGGCCCAGGUAGUGCAAGCCUUGCACUUGCAAAGGCGCUAGCAAAAUGUCUGCACUCUGCUCUCAUUGGACAUGCAUUGCAAUUUGGUUUAUUCUUUGUGC